rnacentral:tRNA from 1 species
CUGAGCAGGCCGCUCCGAUACGACGGUUUCGGACUUUUAAUCCGUAGGUUGUGGGUUCGAGUCCCACGCGACCCA